rnacentral:rRNA from 1 species
GAUGAACGCUGGCGGCGUGCCUAAUACAUGCAAGUCGAGCGAACGGACGAGAAGCUUGCUUCUCUGAUGUUAGCGGCGGACGGGUGAGUAACACGUGGGUAACCUACCUAUAAGACUGGGAUAACUUCGGGAAACCGGAGCUAAUACCGGAUAAUAUUUUGAACCGCAUGGUUCAAAAGUGAAAGACGGUCUUGCUGUCACUUAUAGAUGGAUCCGCGCUGCAUUAGCUAGUUGGUAAGGUAACGGCUUACCAAGGCAACGAUGCAUAGCCGACCUGAGAGGGUGAUCGGCCACACUGGAACUGAGGCACGGUCCAGACUCCUACGGGAGGCAGCAGUAGGGAAUCUUCCGCAAUGGGCGAAAGCCUGACGGAGCAACGCCGCGUGAGUGAUGAAGGUCUUCGGAUCGUAAAACUCUGUUAUUAGGGAAGAACAUAUGUGUAAGUAACUGUGCACAUCUUGACGGUACCUAAUCAGAAAGCCACGGCUAACUACGUG